UGAUUGUUUGCUUUGUCCUGCCACUUCGAACCAUAGCGAGUAAGAAAGUUGCGAUCUUGGAGGGUUUUGGAAUCGUUCUGUUGUUGCGUUCCUUUUCUUUUCUGUGUGAUUCAUCAUCUUUGCAAUACUUCUUUGUUGCGUUUUUUUAUGUGUUACUCUUCAAUUUUUUAUUUCUAUGUUAGUAUUACGAGAAGCCUAUUGAAGAUUUUAUUUUUUGGAGUAUAAUUGGGUUUUGAUGCUGGGGUGAGACUGAUGAAGUUUUGAUUUUUGGUCUAAUUAUCAUAAUAUCAUCCUUUUAUUUCAUUUGUCAUGAUAGUUUUUGCCUAGAGCUUUGCAAAGAUUACUACCUAAUAACUCAUGAAUAUUCCUAACUGAAAUGGAUCAGAUAUCAUUCUUUGUAGUGACUGUACUGAUCGAAUUGAAGCAUAAGAGGGUUCAAGUUGUUUGGACUGGUCCGAUCCUAAUUUGGAAUGCUGACACUUUUGAAUGUUUCUUUAGCAGUAACAUCGGUCCCUGUUUACUUAAAUAGCUAUCUGUUGUUUCUUGGAUUUCAUCAUUUGCCAUGGCUUUUAAGCAACAUGCCCAACUUCCUGAAGCGUUAAGUGCAAACUUGGAGGCUCCAAAUCCCAAGGAUGAGCCACAUGCAAGCAGAGAAGAUGAUCUCCGCCAACCGACAGAAUCACAUUUACCUCAUGUUGCUAUUGCACAUAAGCCCACCACAGAAUCCCCUCUUCAUAGGCAUGGGUAUCAACCAAAUUCCAGUGAACAUAGAAGGGCCGGUAGAACAAGUGGUGAAUCUGACAAUAGCAUGGAGCGCUCUCCACUUCACCCCCAUUAUCAUGUGAAAGCUGCAACUAGAGGUGGUGUAUCUUCCAAGGGUUCAUCAGUGAGUAGCCAUGCACUUGCUUCAAAUGUUGCAGGUAGAUUGAGAACGAGGACUGGUGGUCGAGGUGAUGAAACUCCUGAUAAAGGGUCAUCUGUGCCAAAGUUUGGUGAGUGGGAUGAAAGUAAUCCUUCAUCAGCUGAUGGUUUCACUGGCAUAUUUAACAAAGUGAGGGAGGAAAAAAAGAGUGGAUCAGCAAAAGCUACCAUGAUAACAAAUGAUACAAUCUAUCUAUGUUAAUGACCAAGAUGGUAGUGGUGGGUCCUUGAGCUGUUGCUUUGGCUGGUGCAAAAAAUAACUAGUAUUACAAGAAGAUUCAGAGCUUCGAUCCUGUAAAUAUCCUCAAAUAAGAGUCAUGAUAUUUGCAUCUGUUUGGAACUGCAUGUUCCUCUGUGCUAGCGUGUCUUUUGGUAUGUCUUCGUAUGUUAAUUCGAAGGUGUGUCUAUGAAAACAUAUCAAAGGAUGAGAUACAGAAGUUGUUUCCACCAGAAGUCCUACCUGAAUUACAAAGAUUACUCACCCUGCUCCUGCAGAAGUUUCAACGAGAAUGGUGCGAAGAUGUGCUCAAAGAUCAGGUUUCUUUGCCUCGCCUGAAGUCAAUGACAUGUAAUGUGGUAAAUCAAAAUCAAGAUUCUGUGGAGCAUGUUGCUGUUAUGAAUCUGAAGCUCCAAGGUGAUACACAGUCUUCAUCAGGUGAAACACAGGUUAAAUUACAAUUGGCAAGAGAUACCCUCGAGACGAUGUUGAAGUCUAUGUACUUCAUAAGAGAUCAAAUGUCCAGUGGGGAUGCUACCUCUAAUGGACUUGGGCAAGAACAGGGAGCAGCCGAAACAGCCUUAACAUAAAAUCUUGGGAUGCCUGGCCUAUGUAUUAUAGUUUUCUUUCUUUUCUUAACACUGACAUAAUAUUCUGUGUUCUUAUUCUUCUCAAUCCUGGGACUCUGGAAUUUUGAAGCUACUUAGCAACCCUUUUGUUUCCCAACUAAACUCAUCCAGCCGUAUGUAUGUGUGUGUAUAGCAUGGGGGCAAAUACUGUCAAUUAGGUUUCAUUUUCAGAAUGUGUUUAGAUCAUUUUCAAUUUAUUCUAGAAGCAAAACAUCUUAUUCUUUUGAGAA